CUGGGUCCUUGUGCCUAUAAAUGGCAGGGCGUGACUCUCAGAAGGGACGUGGCCCAUGAAGGGGAGCCGCGUAUGGGGCCUGUUGGGGGGCAGACUGAGCUGUCUCACCCUGAACUUGAAUGUGACGGUGGCCUCACUUCCCGGCCUUCCCCUGGAUGUCACUUCCUCCCCUUCAAGGCUGUGCCGGGGAGGAAGUGAGACCAGUGCAGGGGCCAGGCCCUGAGGAGGGACCUGGUCUUUCUCCUUGCUUGGCCAGGCCCCCGACCUAGACGGGGACAUCUUGUGACACUGGCUGCCUCCUGCAUCCCUGCCCCAGGACCUCAGGGACCACAGGCGGGGACAGUCGUUGAUUCUCCCCUGGCCACUGACCCUCAGCCCCGGGGUCUGCCCAGGUAGAGCUCUGUCUCCCAGAGAGUCAGGGGGACCCUGUGACCUGCUGCUCCUUACCCACCAUUAUCCUGGGCAAGCACAGGUCAGGACACCAGACGCUAUUGAGAGUGACAUCUCCUAGAUGGGCGGCUGGGGACUUUGCCUCUGUCCCCAGGCCUCGGACACCAGAUGAUCCUUCCCAGAGACAGAAAAUAACCCCACACUGCCCAAGACUUAUUUUUAAGCUUUGGAUUCUGAAAUUUUCCUGCUGCCACCUUCUUUGUGAAGCCACUUUUUCAACAGAGACAAUAUUCCAGGGGAGAAAACAAAAUAAAACAUGGAGUCAGUCAAACCAAGCUGACACAUCUGGUCCUCCCAGAGAAAUCUGGAUUGAAAGGAGAACAACCAUUCUCAACUGGUGAAAUAGUGAAGUUCCC
rnacentral:lncRNA from 1 species